rnacentral:lncRNA from 1 species
GUUCAGGGCAGGGUACUGGGUGGAGGCUAGUAACAGUAACUAAGGUUCAGGGCAGGGUACUGGGUGGAGGCUAGUAACAGUAACUAAGGUUCAGGGCAGGGUACUGGGUGGAGGCUAGCAGGCUAGUAACAGUAACUAAGGUUCAGGGCAGGGUACUGGGUGGAGGCUAGUAACAGUAACUAAGGUUCAGGGCAGGGUACUGGGUGGAGGCUGGCUAGUAACAGUAACUAAGGUUCAGGGCAGGGUACUGGGUGGAGGCUAGUAACAGUAACUAAGGUUCAGGGCAGGGUACUGGGUGGAGGCUGGCUAGUAACAGUAACUAAGGUUCAGGGCAGGGUACUGGGUGGAGGCUGGCUAGUAACAGUAACUAAGGUUCAGGGCAGGGUACUGGGUGGAGGCUAGUAACAGUAACUAAGGUUCAGGGCAG